rnacentral:rRNA from 1 species
UACAGAGGGUGCAAGCGUUGUUCGGAAUUAUUGGGCGUAAAGGGCGCGUAGGCGGUGCCACAAGUCACCUGUGAAAUCUCCGGGCUUAACUCAAGAAGUGCCCCAGAAACGGUGAGACUAGAGUUCUGGAGAGGGUCGUGGAAUUCCCGGUGUAGCGGUGAAAUGCGUAGAGAUCGGGAGGAACACCAGAGGCGAAGGCGGCGACCUGGACAGAUACUGACACUCAACUACGAAAGCGUGGGGAGCAAACAGG